AAAAAACAGAGAGAUAAUAGGAGAAUGGUCUAAAGCUCACCGGAAAGAGAAACGAGAAAAGGAAAAAAGGGACGCAGCAAAGCUGCUGCUAAACAACAGAAGCUAAACACUAAGAAAGAAAGAAAAAAAAAACAUAAGAGGAGGAAACAAAGGAGAAGAAGAAGAAAGAGGCUGGAACCAAACCUUUGAGAAAUUUUAAAUAUGUUCUGGCUCUUACGGGUAAUACUUGAAUUUCUCAUUUGGGUUCUUUUCUUCUGGUAAUUCUUUUUAUCUCAGUUUAUAUAUUUGAAGGGUUUCACAAGGUAUAAAAAAUUUAAUACCAAUAAGAGUUAUUCUGGGAAAAUUGUGCAAUUAGAAAUUGGCUCAAUGCUACGGUAGGAUAAAUUCACUUGGAAAAAGAAGGGUAUUGAUAUAUUUGUACUUAAACUAAUCUCAUUAUAUAUGCUUUGUUAGGUGUAAAUUAAGUUAAGGUUCAAGGAUUGAGUUUUGGUGUUUAAUUGUAUUGCAAUGGAUAAUAUUGAAUUUGACUUUGAAUGUGGUAAGUCUAGUAUUGAGUACAAAAGAUAAGUACCAAUUAAGAAGGAAUAUUAUGGACAAUAAUAUUAUUUCAGUUUCAACUUAUGCACACAAUUAAGGAAAUUGAACAGUACAGGGAAUAAACUACAUAAAUACCUUUUUAUUUAAAAGAUUUUGGACUAAUUUAAAUUACUCAUAGCAUGUGUCAAUAUAAUUCGGCGAAUUGAUGAUAAAAUAUAAGACUCGGAGGAUUGAGUAUUCUAAAUUCGUAAUGAAUUUAGCCUAAAUGAGGCAAUUAACACGAGAUCGAUGUUGAUGUGGUUAAAGAUUGAUUGAAGGAAGGUAUACGAAUUGCUCGAGGUGAAGUGUUUGGUAUCUCGAUAGGAGUAUUGUGAGUAGUAAUCUUACCGCAAUUUGUAUUUUCAUAACUUGUAUUAUUUACACAUGAUUUUUAAUAUGAAUAUAUUACCGAUUAUUUUGAAUUGCAUGCGGGACAAGUCUUUUACUCGAUAUGAUACCUAAAUAGUAAUUUGAGAUGAUUUUCGUUAUUUUUAAUAUUCCUGAUGUCACUAGAUCUGUUUUACCGUUACUUGAAUUUACUGUUAUCGAAAUAAAAUUUUAUGAUUUGAUAAGAACCGAAAUGCCCUAUAUUAUUUUAACAUAUUUUCUACGAGUAUAUACGGAUUACAGAGACAAGUAUAAAUGGGAGUAGACAUUGAAGGAUCCCGUAGCUAACGGCGGGUUCGUUAGACCUGGUGCACUUUGUAAUUACCGAUUACCGUUAUAGCCCUCGCUAGUGGAAAGGUAGAACUAGCAUACCGUUACUGAUUUUCCUCGAGUAGGGACUACCGUUAUAUUUGACUUCUUGCGAAGAAGUACAAAUUUAUACCGAUUACAUAAUCCGUUCAUUGAAACCUCCCAAAUAUGAAUAUUGAUAUUAUACAGUGUCUACCGAGCUUAUUACUGAAUUGUCAAUUGAAUUAUAUUACAUGAAAAACAUGAGAAGAAUGAAAAUUAUUUAUUGUUUCUGAAAGGGCAUUCUUAUGAUAUUUUUGUUUAAUAUACUAGCAUAUUUUCUGAUAUGCCCCUAAUAAAAAUGGUUGUGGUUAAGUGUUAUUACUCACUGAGCUAGCAACUCAUUCCCCGCUAAUUAUUUUUACAGAGAUAACAGUUGAUGCGGGCGAGGAUUUCAUUAAUUAGAGCGCACAGGUUGAUAGUUCUUGGUGAGCCUCGCAUUUGUUCGCGUGGGCGAAGAUUUUAUUUAUUGUUAUGGUCUUUUCUUUGAACUCUUACAGUCGCUCCAUAGUAAUUCUUUUAGUGUCAUGAGUAUUCGUUUAUUAUUAUAGACUUAUGUUGGGUAUCGCUCUUUAUUAUCAAAGUUGGAGAUAAAUUAGUAUUUCUAGCUGUAAGUGGGUGGACUAUUAAUGGUAAAUAUUUGUUCGGGUUAAUUGAUAAAGUUAUUGUUGUUUGGAUUGAUAUUAGGGUGUUUGGUUGUUGAUUUGACAUAGGAAAUUUUUUGGGAUAGUCUAAAAAUAGGAAAAACUCUGUCCGAUUUUCUGUAAAAUACCGAUGAGGCUUACUUGGAGGCAGUUGCUCCUUAGUGCCGGUCAUGAUCCUAAAUUGGGUCGUGACAAAGUUGGUAUUAGAGAUUAGGCUUUAAGUCCCGAGUCAUGGAGCAAUGUUUAGUAGAGUCUUGUUCAUGGUUAUGUAGGCGCCCAUACUUAUGAUCUUGAGGCUACUGACCAUCUAGGAAUGUUUUCCUUUCUUUUAUUCUUUGAUCAUGCGUUGAGAUAACUUGUGAUUGAAUUUGGAGUAUUUCUUUCGCUGAUGGUUAGGACACGCAUACCCUCAUCUGCUGGACGUGGUGCUGGACGUGGUACUACCCGGGGUGGCGGUCAAGUUGGGGUUCAUAAAACUAGAAGAUAGGAUGCUCCUGAACCUGAAGUUGGAAACAUAAGUCAACCCCAAGCUACUAUGCCAGAUCAAGUGCAAGAACAGGGAGUUCAUGAUGCUCCAUCACCAGUGCCAACUGUUGUACUUACUGUUGCCGUACCUGCAGACGCAGUGGCAAGGUUAUUGAAUGUGAUAGAGGCACUGGUGCCUACUCAGGGUGGAAGUUCAGCUCCUCAGGCUACUUUACAGACACAAGCACCUGCACAGACUCAGACUUUCGGGAGUAAGAAAGUAUCCCUACAAGAGUUCCUGAAAUUAAAAUCACCAAAAUUCACAGGUUCUGACAAUUCAGUAGAUCCUCAAAGUUUCUUGGAUGGGACACUCAAGGCAUUGCAUGCUCUAGGAUGUUCUAGUGAGAGGGUCGUGGAGCUCGCAAUAUACAAACUAGAGGAUAUGGCUAACACAUGGUAUGAAAUUAUAUUGCUAGGAAGGCCAGUAGGAGCAGCCCCACUAACAUGGGACGGGUUCAGUAAGUUGUUUAUGGAUCAUUUUCUUCCAGAUAGCCUGAGGCAAAAAUAUGCUAGAGACUUUAAGAGAUUGGUUCAGACUCCAGAUAUGGAUGUGUCAACCUACAACAUGAAGUUUUGUAAUCUGGCCAGAUAUGCUCCUUACUUAGUGCCUACCCAUGAAGCUCGACUUCAGAGGUUUAUUGAUGGGUUGGUUGGUCAUCUAUACACUGCAGGAGCCCCACAGAUAAAGACUUUGUCCUACACUGAUGCAGUCGAUCUUGCUAGAAAGAUUUAAAAUAAGGUACGUGAUGAGCGUGCAACUAGUGAAUUACGUAAGAAGGCCAAGACAAGAGGAUCUUUCAAUGGCGGUUUUAGUGAAAAUCGUAGAGUAGGAAGUCAAGGACAUCACCAACAGGGUUCUCAUAUAGGUACACACUUGUCUUCACAGACCACAUUACAAAUAGGGUACUGGGGGACCAUCAUCAUCCGGACAUCAUAAUUCUGGGCAGAUAUAUGCCACCACUCCAGUCUGCCAGACCUGUGGUAGAUCACAUUUGGGCCAGUGUCGUGUUCUGACUAGAGAGUGUUUUCAGUGUGGUCAGUUAGGACAUCACUUGAGGGAUUGCCCUCAGCCUCCGAGGAAUUUCAGCCAAGCUUCUAUCCAGCCAGCUGCACCUACUCAGACUACUAGUAAUAUUUCAGGUGCUACAGGUACAAGAAAUAGAGGUCGAGGUGCUGGAGAUCGUGCUAUUGUGAAUCAAGGGCAAGGGAAUACUGGUAGAGGUCAGGCGAGAGUUUUUGCAUUUACUAGACAGGAUGCUCAGGCCUCGAAUAUUGUGGUUACAGGUAUUCUUUCUGUCUGUUCAUUUGAUGUACUUGCGUUGAUUGAUCCGUGAUCUACUCACUCCUAUGUGUCCUCGUACUUUGCUUUGAGGUUUAGUAGACAGCCCGAGCUAUUGAAUGAUCCUUUUCUAGUUGCCACUCCUGUUGGAGAGUCUCUAUUAGAUGAGUACGUGUAUCGUGCUUGUCAGAUUCGGGUUGAGGGUAAAGAUACUCUAGCUGACCUUAUUGUACUUGAUAUGAUUGAGUUUCACAUGCUUGAUGGGAAUGGAUUGGUUGUCUUCUUGCUAUGCUAUCUUCGAUUUUCAUGCAAAGAUAGUUAAGUUUAAGAUAUCAAACGAACCCAGUUUUAUUCUAAAAGGGGAUCAGGUUCCAAAGACUUGCAAAGUUGUAUAUUUUAUGAAGUCUCAACGAAUUCUGAAGAAAGGUUGCUUGGGUCUCUUAGCUAUUGUAAAUGACACAAUAAAGGAAACAAUUAGUAUAGAAAAUAUACCAGUAGUGAGAGAAUUUUCGGAUGUAUUUUCUGAGGAUUUACCAGGAUUACCUCGAGUAAGAGAAAUAAACUUUGGUAUUUAUUUGCCACCUGACACACAUCCCAUAUCGAUACCCCCAUAUCGGAUGGCACCAGUAGAGUUGAGGGAGCUAAAGCAACAGUUGCAGGAUUUAUUAGAUAAGGGUUUUAUCAGACCUAGUGUAUCACCAUGGGGUGCACCAGUAUUGUUUGUAAAGAAGAAAGACAGAUCUCUAAGAAUAUGCAUUGACUACAGGCAGUUGAACAAGAUAACAAUACGCAAUAAAUAUACUUUGCCCCGUAUAUAUGCCAUGUUUGAUCAGUUAAAUGAGCUGCCCACUUUUCAAAAAUAGACCUUCGGUCUGGUUAUCAUCAACUUAGAAUCAAAGAUGAAGAUAUUUCUAAGACUGCUUUCAGAACUCGAUACAGGCAUUGUGAGUUUCUUGUGAUGCCUUUCGGACUGACUAAUGCUCCAGCUGCAUUCAUGGAUUUAAUGAAUAGGGUCUUCAAGCCAUUUCUGGAUAGAUUUGUAAUAUUAUUUAUUGAUGAUAUCCUGAUAUAUUCUCGUAGCCAAGGUGAACACGAGAAUCGUCUGAGGACUGUAUUGCAAACAUUUCGAGAACAUCGGCUUUAUACUAAGUUCUCAAAGUGUGAAUUUUAGCUAGACUUAGUAGCAUUUUUGGGGCAUGUUGUAACCAGAGAUGGAAUUAUGGUAGAUCCUAAGAAGAUAGAAGCAGUGCAGAAAUGGCUCAAACCUAAUUCUCCUACAGAGAUUCGCAGCUUUUUAGGCUUAGCAGGUUAUUACAAGCGUUUUGUGCAGGAUUUCUCCAGAAUAGCAGCGCCACUGACUAAGCUAACACAGAAAAAUACAAAGUUUCAAUGGACGGAGGAAUGUGAGCAGAGCUUUCAGAAACUCAAAAUAUGUUUGACAAUUGCACCAAUAUUAUCCUUACCAUCAUGUUCUAGAGGAUUUACAGUAUUUUGUGAUGCCUCGAGGGUGGGAUUAAGAUGUGUUCUCAUGCAAAAUGGACGCGUUCUAACUUAUGUUUCGAGACAAUUGAAAAAGCACGAGCAAAACUAUCCUACACAUGAUUUGGAGAUGGCUGCAGUUGUAUUUGCUCUAAAAAUUUAGAGGCAUUACCUAUACGGCAAAACUUGUGAGAAUUAUACUGACCAUAAAAGUCUGAAGUAUAUCUUUCAGCAGAGAGAUUUGAAUCUUCGGCAGCGUCGGUGGAUGGAACUACUCAAAGACUAUGACUAUUCUAUUUUGUAUCAUCUUGGAAAAGCCAAUGUGGUGGCUAAUGCAUUGAGCAGAAAAUCAAUGGGGAGUUUGGCACAUAUAGUUCCUGCAAAGAGACUUUUGGCCAAAGUUAUUCAAAGACUAGAAGAUACAGGUAUCAGAUUUAGUGUCGGAAAUUCAUAGGCAUUGUUGGCUUGUGCUCAGGCUAAGUCUUCAUUAGUUGAGCGCAUUAAGGCCACCCAAUAUGAGGAUGCGUGAUUAUGCAAAUACAGAGAUUAGGCCUUAGCUGGUAAAAACAAGGAUAUAAUUGUUGAAAGUGAUGGUGUUCUUCGAAUGGGUGACAGGCUAUGUGUCGCAAACGUAGAUGGGUGGAGGCAUGUUAUUCUUAAAGAAGCCCACAACUCUAAAUACACUAUACAUCCUGGAUCCACAAAAAUGUACCAUGACCUGAAGUAAUUUUAUUGGUGGGAAGGUAUGAAGAAAGAUGUUGCUAAAUUUAUUUCUAACUAUUUGAUUUGUCAGCAGGUCAAAUAGUAUCAGCGACCCGCGGGACUGUUACAACAAAUUGAGAUUCCAGAGUGAAAAUGGGAAAGAAUUACUAUGGACUUUAUCGCCGGUCUACCACGAACCCUUAGAGGUUAUGACUCCAUAUGGGUGAUUGUAGAUCAAUUGACAAAAUCAUCACACUUUUUACCAGUGAAGACAACAUAUAGUGGAGUAAGAUAUGCACAAAUAUUUAUGAAUGAGAUUGUCCGACUUCACAGAGUUCCAGUAUCCAUCAUCUCUGAUAGAGGAUCACAGUUCACUUCACGCUUUUGGAAAUCUUUUCAAAAAGCAUUGGGUACACGAGUAGAUCUUAGUACUGCAAUUCACCCACAAACAGACAGGAAGUCUGAACGUACUAUACAGAUCUUGAAGGAUAUGUUGAGAGCUUGCAUUCUUGAGUUUGGAGGUAGUUGGGACGCUUAUCUACCUUUAAAUGAAUUUGCUUACAAUAAUAGCUUCUUGUCCAGUAUUCAAAUGGCACCGUACGAAGCAUUGUAUGGUAGAAGAUGUCGUUCUCCUAUCGAAUGGUUUGAAGCUGGUGAGACUAACUUAUUGGGACCUGACUUAGUGCAAGAAGCUAUUGACAAGGUCAAAUUAAUUAGGCAGAGAUUGCUCACAGCUCAAAGCAGACAAAAGUCUUAUACAGAUAAGAGAAGAAAAGAUUUAGUGUUCAUAAUUGGGGACAAAGUGUUCCUACGAAUCUUCCCUAAGAAAGAUGUGAUGCGGUUUGGUAAAAGAGGCAAGUUGAUCCCCAAGUUUAUAGGACCGCAUGAGAUACUAAACCGAGUGGGAGUUGUUGCUUAUCGUUUGGCACUUUCUCCCGAGUUAUCUUUUAUUCAUCCAGUAUUUCAUGUCUCAAUGCUAAGAAAAUGUAUAUCAGACUCAUCUCAGGUGCUUGAAGCACCGACUAUACCGCUCGAUAAGAAGUUAUUUUAUAAUGAGGAGACGAUGACUAUUGUUGAUAGACAAGUAAGAAAACUACGGUCAAAAGAAAUACUAUUCGUGAAAGUCUUAUGGAGAAAUCAUACAAUUGAAGAAGCUACGUGGGAAGUGGAAGAAGGUAUGCGAAUCAAGUAUCCUCAUAUAUUUCAAUCUACAGGUACGUACUAGAAUUUAAUUCGGGGACCGAAUUUCAUAAGGUGGGGAGAAUGUAAUACCCUAUAUAUUAAUAAGGGCAUAGAAGUCUUUAACUAGAAUUUAAAAAAAAAAAGAGAUAAUAGGAGAAUGGGCUAAAGCCCACUGGAAAGAGAAACGAGAAAAAGGAAAAAGGGACGCAGCAAAGCUGCUGCUAAACAACAGAAGCGAAACACUAAGAAAGAAAGAAAAAAAACCAUAAGAGGAGGAAACAAAGGAGAAGAAGAAUAAAGAGGCUGAAACUAAAUCUUUGAGAAAUUUUAAAUACAUACUGACUCUUACGGGUAAUACUCCAAUUUCUUAUUUGGGUUCUUUUCUUCUGGUAAUUCUUUUUAUUUCAGUUUAUAUAUUUGAAGGGUUUCACAAGGUAUAAGAAAUUUAAUACCAAUAAGAGUUAUUCUGGGCAAAUUAUGCAAUUAGAAGUUGGCUCAAUGCUACCGUAGGAUAAAUUCACUUGGAAAAAGAAGGGUAUUGAUGUAUUUGUACUUAAACUAGUCUCAUUAUAUAUGAUCUUUGUUAGGUGUAAAUUAAGUUAGGGUGCAAGAAUUGAGUUUUGGUGUUUAACUGUAUUGCAAUGGACAUUAUUUAAUUUGGCUUUGAAUGUGGUAAGUCUAGUAUUGAGUACAAAAGAUAAGUACAAAUUAAUAAGGAAUAUUAUGGACAAUAAUAUUAUUUCAGUUUCAACUUAUGCACACGAUUAAAGAAAUUGAACAGUACAUGGAAUAUACUACAUAAAUACCUUUUUAUAUAAAAGAUUUUGGACUAAUUUAAAUUACUCAUUGCAUGGGUAAAUAUAAUUCAGCCAAUUGAUGAUAAAAUAUAAAACUCGGAGGAUUGGGUAUUCUAAAUUAGUGAUGAAUUUAGCCUAAAUGAGGCAAUUAACACGAGAUCGAUAUUGAUGUGGUUCUAUAUUGAUUGAAGGAAGUUAUACGGAUUGCUCGAGGUGAAGUGUUUGGUAUAUCGAUACAAGUACUGUGAGUAGUAAUCUUACUGCAAUUUGUGUUUUCAUAACUUGCAUUAUUUACACAUAAUUUUUAAUAUGAAUAUGUUACCGAUUAUUUCGAGUUGCAUGCGAGACAAGUCUUUUACUCGAUAUGAUACCGAAAUAGUAAUUUGAGAUGAUUACCGUUUUUUUAAUAUUCCCGAUGUCACUAGAUUUGUUUUACCGUUACUUGAAUUUACUAUUAUCGAAAUAAAAUUUCAUGAUUUGAUAAGAACCGAAAUGCCCUAUAUUAUUUUAAAAUAUUUUCUACGAGUAUAUACGGAUUACAGAGACAAGUAUAAAUGGGAGUAGACAUUGAAGGAUUCCGUAGCUAACGACGAGUUCGUUAGACCUGGUGCACUUUGUAAUUACCGAUUACCGUUAUAGCCUUCGCUAGUAGAAAGGUAGAACUAGCAUACCGUUCCUGAUUUUUCUUGAGUAGGGACUACCGUUAUAUUUGACUUCUUGCGAAGAAGUACACAGUUAUACCGAUUAUAUGAUCCGUUCAUUGAAACCUCCCAAAUAUGAAUAUUGAUAUUAUACAGUGUCUACCGAGCUUAUUACUGAAUUGUCAAUUGAAUUAUAUUACAGAAAAAACAUGACGAGAAUGAAAAUUAUUUAUUGUUUCUCAAAAAGGCAUUCUUAUAAUAUUUUUGUUUAAUAAACUAGCAUAUUUUCUGACUUGUCCCUAAUAAAAACGGUUGUGGUUCAAUGUUAUUAUUCACUGAGCUAGCGACUCAUUCCUCGUUAAUUUUUUUUACAGAGACAGCAGUUGACGCGGGCGAGGAUUACGUUAAUUAGAGCGCACGGGUUGAUAGUUCUUGGUGAGACUCGCACUUGUUCGUAUGGGCGAAAAUUUUAUUUAUUGUUAUGGUCUUUUCUUUGAACUCUUAGAGUGGCCCCAUAGUCAUUUUUUUAGUGUUAUGAGUAUUCGUUUGUUAUUAUAGACUUAUGUUGGGUAUCGCUCUUUAUUAUUAAAGUUGGAGAUAAAUUAGUAUUUCUAGCUGUAAGUGGGUGGACUAUUAAUGGUAGAUAUUUGUUUGGGUUAAUUGAUAAAGUUAUUAUUAUUUGGAUU
rnacentral:lncRNA from 1 species